UCGAGAAUCUUUCACAAUGGGCGAAAGCCUGAUGGAGCGACGCCGCGUGGAGGAUGAAGGCCUUCAGGUUGUAAACUCCUGUCAUGAGGGAACAAGAAAGUGAUAGUACCUCAAGAGGAAGAGACGGCUAACUCUGUGCCAGCAGCCGCGGUAAUACAGAGGUCUCAAGCGUUGUUCGGAUUUACUGGGCGUAAAGGGUGCGUAGGCGGUGGCGUAAGUCGAGUGUGAAAUCUUCCGGCCUAACCGGAAAACUGCACUCGAUACUGCGUCACUAGAGGACUGUAGAGGAGACUGGAAUUCACGGUGUAGCAGUGAAAUGCGUAGAUAUCGUGAGGAAGACCGGUGGCGAAAGCGAGUCUCUGGGCAGUUCCUGACGCUGAGGCACGAAGGCUAGGGGAGCAAACGGGAUUAGAUACCCAGGUAGUCCCUGAGCGGGCUGGCAAGGCGCAU
rnacentral:rRNA from 1 species